rnacentral:rRNA from 1 species
CCAGACUCCUACGGGAGGCAGCAGUGGGGAAUUUUCGUCAAUGGGCGCAAGCCUGAACGAGCAAUGCCGCGUGAACGAGGAAGGUCUUCGGAUCGUAAAGUUCUGUUGAAGGGGAAAAAGAGCGGAGAGAGGAAAUGGUCUCCGAUUGAUAUUACCCUUCGAGGAAGUCACGGCUAACUACGUGCCAGCAGCCGCGGUAAUACGUAGGUGGCGAGCGUUAUCCGGAAUGAUUGGGCGUAAAGGGUGCGUAGGCGGGCUGCAAAGUCAGCGGUAAAAUUGCGGGGCUCAGCCCCGUCGAGCCGUUGAAACUGGCGGUCUUGAGUGGGCGAGAAGUAUGCGGAAUGCGUGGUGUAGCGGUGAAAUGCAUAGAUAUCACGCAGAACUCCGAUUGCGAAGGCAGCAUACCGGCGCCCGACUGACGCUGAAGCACGAAAGCGUGGGUAUCGAACAGGAUUAGAUACCCGAGUAGC